UUGGUUCUGGCAUCGAUGAAGAACGCAGCGAAAUGCGAUAAGUAAUGUGAAUUGCAGAAUUCAGUGAAUCAUCGAAUCUUUGAACGCACAUUGCGCUCCCUGGUAUUCCGGGGAGCAUGCCUGUUCGAGCGUCAUUACAACCCUCAAGCUCUGCUUGGUGUUGGGCCCCGCCGCCCCGGCGGGCCCUAA
rnacentral:rRNA from 1 species